GGAACACUAUAGUCACCUAAAUUACUUUAGCUAAAUAAAGCAGUUUUGGUGUAUAGAUCAUUCCCCUGCAAUUUCACUGCUCAAUUCACUGUCAUUUAGGAGUUAAAUCACUUUGUUUCUGUUUAUGCAGCCCUAGCCACACCUCCCCUGGCUAUGAUUGACAGAGCCUGCAUGAAAAAAAAACUGGUUUCACUUUCAAACAGAUGAAAUUUACCUUAAAUAAUUGUAUCUCAAUCUCUAAAUUGAACUUUAAUCACAUACAGGAGGCUCUUGCAGGGUCUAGCAAGCUAUUAACAUAGGAGGGGAUAAGAAAAUCUUAAUUAAACAGAACUUGCAAUAAAGAAAGUCUAAAUAGGGCUCUCUUUACAGGAAGUGUUUAUGGAAGGCUGUGCAAGUCACAUGCAGGGAGGUGUGGCUAGGGUUCAUAAACAAAGGGAUUUAACUCCUAAAUGGCAGAGGAUUGAGCAGUGAGGCUGCAGGGGCAUGUUCUAUACAC